GGGUCACACUCCGCAAUGGUGUGGUAGCGGAUUGUAACUCCGUGGCGGCAACGCAGCUAGGUUCGAUCCCUAGGUGACCCACCA
rnacentral:tRNA from 1 species